rnacentral:rRNA from 1 species
GACGAACGCUGGCGGCGUGCCUAAUACAUGCAAGUUGAGCGCUGAAGGUUGGUACUUGUACCAACUGGAUGAGCAGCGAACGGGUGAGUAACGCGUGGGGAAUCUGCCUUUGAGCGGGGGACAACAUUUGGAAACGAAUGCUAAUACCGCAUAAAAACUUUAAACACAAGUUUUAAGUUUGAAAGAUGCAAUUGCAUCACUCAAAGAUGAUCCCGCGUUGUAUUAGCUAGUUGGUGAGGUAAAGGCUCACCAAGGCGAUGAUACAUAGCCGACCUGAGAGGGUGAGCGGCCACAUUGGGACUGAGACACGGCACAAACUCCUACGGGAGGCAGCAGUAGGGAAUCUUCGGCAAUGGACGAAAGUCUGACCGAGCAACGCCGCGUGAGUGAAGAAGGUUUUCGGAUCGUAAAACUCUGUUGGUAGAGAAGAACGUUGGUGAGAGUGGAAAGCUCAUCAAGUGACGGUAACUACCCAGAAAGGGACGGCUAACUACGUG